rnacentral:rRNA from 1 species
CCUACGGGUGGCAGCAGUGGGGAAUAUUGGGCAAUGGGCGCAAGCCUGACCCAGCAACGCCGCGUGAAGGAAGAAGGCUUUCGGGUUGUAAACUUCUUUUAUCAGGGACGAAGCAAGUGACGUUACCUGCUGAAUAAGCCCGGGCAAACUACGUUCCAGCAGCCGCGGUAAUACGUAGGUGGCAAGCGUUAUCCGGAUUUACUGGGUGUAAAGGGCGUGUAGGCGGGUUGGCAAGUCAGAUGUGAAACCUAUGGGCUCAACCCAAGGCCUGCAUUUGAAACUGUACUUCUUGAGUGCUGGAGAGGCAAUCGGAAUUCCGAGUGUAGCGGUGAAAUGCGUAGAUAUACGGAGGAACACCAGUGGCGAAGGCGGAUUGCUGGACAGUAACUGACGCUGAGGCGCGAAAGCGUGGGGAGCAAACAGGAUUAGAUACCCGGGUAGUC